rnacentral:miRNA from 2 species
CAUCGGAAUCUGUUACUGUUUC